AUGAAGCCCAAAAAGCGAAAAACAAUAAUGAAUGAUCGCCAGAUCCAUCAGGAUUCACCUCUGCCAGGAAAGUAAUUGUCAUUGGAUCAUAGUACCGGAUUUGUCAGGAUUCGCCUCAGCCAGCAAGUAAUCGUGAAUGGAUUCGAGUACCAGAGGCUGGUAAUCGGAUUCCUCCUGCCUUGUCAGAUCCGGUGGAUCCGGAUCCAAUACUCGGAUCCUGCCCAGCCCUAACCACCACACCAGCCAUCGCGCCGCCACAGCACUCAUCGCCCGGCUGCGCCUUCUCUUCGCUGAAUGCUUUUUAGUAUUACAUGUGCUGUGUUUGUGCUGCUCCGUGCUUUCUCACAUACCGCGUACUUCCUAUCACGGUCUCAGGAGUCUAACAAGGUGAUAUUGAUUGGGUUACGGUGGAAGAGGCAAACGUGUACAGCAUCGUGGGAGGAAGAAUGUAAGCAUCCAAGAAAAACAUUGUAUUGCAAUGUUCUCAACGACUGAUUGAGAUGGAAGGCCACGACAGACUUGCAGCAGCGUCUUCUCCUUGGGAAGUUUCUUUCUUAUCUCGUUAUGAUGCAAGGGAAGGCUCUGCAUAACAAAGAAGCCAUGUGGAUGGUGAGAAGCAGCCCUUGAAGACAAUGAAAUGUGAGGGAUUCAGCUUCAUGCUGGCCAAGAGCAAUGGAUGUGCAUUCAUUGACAACUGGGACCUCUUCUAUGGUGGCAAGAGCACCUUGUAUGCCAGGGAUGGAGUGCGUUUAUCAUGCCAGGGUGUUUGAAUUUGGCUGGAACACUUGAGUGGGAGGGACAAGAAUUGGCUGAUGGACUAUUACCUUCCAAAGAACUGUGGUAGAGACAGACAACAACACAGAUGACAUGGUAUACACUACUACUACUUGGCUAUUUUAAAGGACUCGCGGUGUAAGCAGUAUGGAGUGACUGCUUCAGUGCAUCAUUACUAAAGGUGAAGCAUGGAAGCAACACUUUGGCACAUCUAUGACUUCCUUGCACUGUGUGCCAAGAACAGCAACAGCAUGGCUCUGGCAACACUCCACUGCCUCAACAAAUCUCGGAUGUCUAUGAGAUGAUGAGUCCCCAGAGGGUCACGAAUCUCAGCAGGUGUGAAGUACAGAUGACCGAAGACUGUGACUCACAACUUUGUAUCCAUUUACUUGCAUCCUGUAUAAUUGGGCCAUGUGCGCAGGGUGAAUCAAUUGUAGCUGAGUACUAAUAAAGAUAAAUAACAAUGUAUCAGUA